GCAAGUCGAGCGGAAACGCUGAAAAGCUUGCUUUUCAGGCGUCGAGCGGCGGACGGGUGAGUAAUGCUUGGGUAUCUGCCCUAUUGUGGGGGACAACAACUGGAAACGGUUGCUAAUACCGCAUACUAUCUACGGAUCAAAGGUGGCCUCUUCUUGAAAGCUAUCGCGAUAGGAUGAACCUAAGUGGGAUUAGCUAGUAGGUGGGGUAAUGGCUCACCUAGGCGACGAUCCCUAGCUGGUCUGAGAGGAUGAUC
rnacentral:rRNA from 1 species